rnacentral:snRNA from 1 species
UGGCCUUCUCAGCCUUUUGGCUAAGAUCGAGGGUAGUAUCUGUUCCUAUCAGUUUAAAAAAUGCCAUUUGAUCAUUUAUCAGAAGGUCUGAGCUGUC